rnacentral:rRNA from 1 species
UACGGAGGAGGCAAGCGUUAUCCGGAAUUAUUGGGCGUAAAGCGUCCGUAGGUGGCUCUUCAAGUCUGCUGUCAAAGAGUGGGGCUUAACCCUGCAAAGGCAGUGGAAACUGAAAGGCUAGAGAGCCGUAGGGGUAGAGGGAAUUCCCGGUGUAGCGGUGAAAUGCGUAGAUAUCGAGAGGAACACCUGCGGCGAAGGCGGGUUGCUGGGCUGACACUGACGCUGACAGCGCGAAAGCUAGGGGAGCGAACGGG